GACAGAGGUGCCAAGCGUUAGGCGGAAUCACUGGGCUUAAAGCGUGUGUAGGUGGAAGCGUAAGUACCUUGUGAAAUCCCACGGCUCAACCGUGGAACUGCUUGGUAUACUGGUUAUCUUGAGCCACUUAGGGGCGAGCGGAACAAAUGGUGGAGCGGUGAAAUGCGCAGAUAUCAUUUGGAACACCAAUGGUGAAAACAGCUCGCUGGGAGUGUGCUGACGCUGAGACACGAAAGCCAGGGGAGCGAACGGG
rnacentral:rRNA from 1 species